GCGCUCUGGGUAGUCAUCCCACAUGCUCAUUCAAGAUGGCGGACGAAGAUGAUGAGAAGUUUUUGUAUGGAGGUGGUGAUUCUGAUACAAAGGAACCAAGUGUGGAAAUAAAGCAAGAGCCGCCAGAUGAUGAGGUUGUCACAGAAAAUGGACAAGCCAAAGAUGAAGAUGAUGCAAAAGAGGCAGGAGAACUGGUAAGUUGGAAAUUUUAUCACCAGUGGCCAGCAGAUCCUUGAAAGGUUGUCAAAAGAAGAUAAUGUCUAGAGGUCAGUGUUGCAGAGGUUGUUCCCAGCCCCCAUACUGACUUAUCCACCACUGGUCACAUUAAAAGAGAAGGUCACUCCAAAAAAUGUAUAUUUUUGCCAACGUCAAUAAAACCUGGCUCUAAGUUUAGCCACUCAGCAAAGUUUCAGCCUCUAAAGUGCAGGUUUUUGUUAUGACAUCUGUCUCCAAAGAAGCCCAAAAUUUGGCAUUGUUGCCGCCAUUUUGAACAGUACUCAGCAGCCAGGCUGCAUAUUUGUGAUGUCAUUCUGUCCAAGAGAUUUUGUCCAAAUGGCUUCUGAAAAGCCUUUUAACUAUCGUUAUGACUGCUCUUGAGCCGUAUUAUCUUGAGUCAAACAUGCUCCAAACUCCGAAAAUGAUUGCAGUGAAGAUAGUGAAGUACAUAAUCAGUUGGAAAAAAUACAUUUUGCUGACCUUGUGGAGGAUGCCAAGUCAGCUGCAGGUUUUUCUCCUUCCUGCCAAUUUCAAGUCGGAUGGAAUGACAUCACAUAAAUGUG